GAUGAACGCUGGCGGCGUGCCUAAUACAUGCAAGUCGAGCGAACAGACGAGGAGCUUGCUCCUCUGACGUUAGCGGCGGACGGGUGAGUAACACGUGGAUAACCUACCUAUAAGACUGGGAUAACUUCGGGAAACCGGAGCUAAUACCGGAUAAUAUAUUGAACCGCAUGGUUCAAUAGUGAAAGACGGGUUUGCUGUCACUUAUAGAUGGAUCCGCGCCGCAUUCGCUAGUUGGUAAGGUAACGGCUUACCAAGGCAACGCUGCGUAGCCGACCUGAGAGGGUGGUCGGCCACACUGGAACUGAGACACGGUCCAGACUCCUACGGGAGGCAGCAGAAGGGAAUCUUCCGCAAUGGGCGAAAGCUUGACGGAGCAACGCCGCGUGGGUGAUGAAGGUCUUCGGAUCGUAGAUCUCUGUUAUUAGGGAAGAACAAAUGUGUAAGUAACUAUGCACGUCUUGACGGUACCUAAUCAGAAAGCCACGGCUAACUACGUG
rnacentral:rRNA from 1 species